AUUGAACGCUGGCGGCAUGCCUUACACAUGCAAGUCGAACGGUAACAGGUUAAGCUGACGAGUGGCGAACGGGUGAGUAAUGUAUCGGAACGUGCCCAGUCGUGGGGGAUAACUGCUCGAAAGAGCAGCUAAUACCGUAUACGACCUGAGGGUGAAAGCGGGGGAUCGCAAGACCUCGCGCGAUUGGAGCGGCCGAUAUCAGAUUAGGUAGUUGGUGAGGUAAAGGCUCACCAAGCCGACGAUCUGUAGCUGGUCUGAGAGGACGACCAGCCACACUGGGACUGAGACACGGCCCAGACUCCUACGGGAGGCAGCAGUGGGGAAUUUUGGACAAUGGGCGCAAGCCUGAUCCAGCCAUGCCGCGUGCGGGAAGAAGGCCUUCGGGUUGUAAACCGCUUUUGUCAGGGAAGAAAAGGUUCUGGCUAAUACCUGGGACUCAUGACGGUACCUGAAGAAUAAGCACCGGCUAACUACGUG
rnacentral:rRNA from 1 species